GAGAGAGAGAGGCAGAGACACAGGCAGAGGGAGAAGCAGGCUCCAUGUAGGGAACCCAAUGUGGGACUUGAUCCUGGGUCUCCAGGAUCACGCCCAGAGCUGAUGGUGGCACUAAACCACUGAGCCACCCAAGCUGCCCAGAAUUUCAGUUUAGACACAGCAAAAAAAGCGUUAAAAUUGAUAGUGGGGAUGGUUGCACAACAAUGUGAAUGGGUUUAAUGUCACUGAACUGUACACUUAAAAAUGGCUACAAUGAUCAAGCUUAUGAUAUAUACAUACAUAUUUAUAAUUUUUUACAAAUUUAAUCUAGUCAUCCUUUCUGAUCCUGUCCCUGGAUCUUGACAUCUACUUUACUUUAGCAAUUGUACCUCUUAUUCAUCUUUCAUAGAGAAAAAUAGUAACCCACUUUACCUGAGCACUGGGACUCUAUAAGCAAAUGGGGCCAACCCUGGAUUAUCUUGUCCUGGAAUACAGAACUGGUUAUUAUUAUGUCAAAUCUCUGAAUAAUAUUCAAAGAUGAAGCUUCUGGAAAUUGGAUUUAAUUGGGUGUGUGCCAUUUGCAAUUAGAGUUGGGGUUAAGAAUGGGGCACAAUGGAGAAUGGUAAUCUUGAUCCCUCUCCUACAUUUAUUGGAAGGUAAUGUCUACCAAUAAGAUGGCUUCCAUAGUAGCCCAGUGCUCUAUUCCCACUUCAAUUAUUUUGCAGCUUACUCUGCAAAGGAAUCCAGAGGAAGUAGAAUUGAAUUUGUAGGAAGACAGGAAGGUAAUUAAGACUUAUGCAACAUGUACCAGACACUGCCAUUGGUGCUUGACAUUCAUUAUUUCAUUUGAUUCUCAUAACAAACAUUGUUAUCUUCAUUUCAUAGAUAGCUAAAUUAAGGCUCAAAACAAUUAGUAUUUCUCAAAGUUAUAUUGUUUCAAGUUCUAGGACUAGGAUUUAAAUCUAAUUAUUUUUGGACUCAAUAGCCCAGGCUCAUCUUAUUAUUCUGUCUCACAGUUGCCUGUAGAGCCAAUUUCUGACAAUGGCUCCUCCUUGAAAAGAGCUAUGUUACUAUGAAAUUUUAAAAAUCUAUACCUAAAUUCUCAUGUUGGCAGAUAAAUAAGGCUCCUAGCAGCAAAUUUGUUCUUUGACAAAAAGCACUUAAGAUUGAUUCCCAGCCAGAAUAAUUAGGAUAACAGAAGAAAGUGCUUCAUACCUCUGCAUUUAGCACCUCCUUUGGUUCAAAAGUAUAAAAAUUGAUUUUUUUAAAAAAACAGAACCACCAACUUAUAUUAAGAGAAAUUAACUUGAUGCCUGAAAAUCACAAAGUUUAAAUUCAGGCUUGAUAUUUUACUCCCUUACAACCACACUAGACUCUGCAGACUUGAUUACACUUAAAUUGAUUUCCAGGAGUAUUUGUUAUGAGAUUGGUUUUACUUAAGUGGCUAAGAAUAGACAAAGAAAUAAAUAAGAUAACUACAUAUUCUGCUUUUAUUAAUCAUUUAACCAAUUAAGUGUCUUCCAACAAAUGAUUUGACUCCUCUUCUAGACAACAGGAGAUUUGUCUAUCAAAAUACUGUAUUAAAUACAUAAAUUCUUAUCAAUAAAAUCUUAAUUCACAGUAGCUGAUUUUAUAAGACAUCCAAGUUAGGAAUCUGCACAGAUAAACUAUUAACUGCAUGAAUACUUUCCAGCGGAACUUCGUGACCUUCUGUAGCUUGUCUUAAAAUAAAAUUCACUUUUGUCAUAAAGUACUUCAGAGCUCUUUUACAUUGUUAAAUAUAUCUUCGAACACACUGGAUUGGGGUGGGGAAUCAACAAUUAGUUAUUCUGUUAAAACCCCCACUGAAGAAAUGUGAUGGGGGGCAGAGGGGUUGCUGCUAGUAACCCAAAUGGAGGAAUUUAUUUUAUUUCUAUCUGAGCUUUAGUUUUCUCAUCUAUGAAUGAUGAAAUUGAAAAAAAUCAUCUCCAAGGAUAUUUCAGUCUUUGAGUAUCUAUGAUUUAAUUAUUCAUCAAUAUGAUAAACCAAAAUAUAAAAUAGUUCCAGAUUUUUUAAAUAAUUUUUUAAAGGUUUUAUUUAUUUAUUCAUGAGAGACACACAGAGGGAGACAGACAGAGAGAGAGAGAGAGGCAGAGACACAGGCAGAAGGAGAAGCAGGCUCCAUGCGGGGAGCCUGACCCCGGACUCCAUCCCGGGUCUCCAAGAUCACGUCCUGGGCUGAAGGCGACAUUAAACGGCUGAGCCACCGGGGCUGCCCUAGUUCCUAAUUAAUUUUUAAUAAGUAAUGGCAUAAUAAGAUAAAAUUCACAACUGUAGAGGCCAUUUUUAGGCAAUCAACUUGAACAAUAGAAACCUGAGUAAGGUAGAAAGGCGGAUAAUGACCCCCAGCCCCCUGGCUGGACAUAAACAUGCCCAUUAGCUGACCCACCUCAAAAUAUCCAUAAUCCCUAUGAUGAAGUUUUGGAAUUUGGAUGAGGUUUGGUGGGGUGAGGUCCGGAGCCAAUGACCAAGAAAGGAUUCUUGAGUCUUCUUUGGUGCAAAAUGGUGGUUUAAAGCACGGGGAUAGGACCCAUGGGCAGGGAGAUCUGCUGCCCCGGGCCUGUGAGCGGUGGCUGAUCAUAUAUCGGGGAGUUGGGAGGGGUUUGAGGACAGCCUACUCUCUAAGAAAUUUUGGAAGCAAGGUUUCCAGGACCUCGAGGGGGCUAGCUAUUGUUGGGAAAAGGUCACUUAUUACCGUCUAAUAAAACCCGAGUCAUGAGACCCUUCAGAUGUAUAUCAGUGGGCCAUGUGCUUGGGGGAUGAUUGCCAACAUGUAUCUCAGGGGUUAAGAGAUAAAGGGAAAUUUCUAAAGGAAUUUUUGUAUGUUAAAGUAGGCUUAAGGAACCCUGGGUGGCUCAGCGGUUUAGCGCUGCCUUCACCCCAGGUCGUCAUCCUGGAGACCCGGGAUCAAGUCCCACAUUAGGCUCCCUGCAUGGAGUCUGCUUCUCCCUCUGCCUGUGUCUCUGCCUCUCUCUCUCUCUCUCUGUGUCUCUCAUGAAUAAAUAAAAUCUUAAAAAAAAAAAAAAGUAGGCUUACAGGAUCCUGGGGGUCAAGCUAAGAUUGCCUUUUGCUCUUAGCAAAGUAUUAAUAUAGAGGCAGUUCAAUCUAUAGAAGAAUGUCCCUUUGCCGCUUCCAAGGACUUGUCAAUGUGCUAUUCCCGGCUCAUGCUUUGUUCUGUUCCCCCAUCACCUAGAUGACCAAUGAGUUACUUACACAUAACCCAGGUACCAAAAAGGGAAAACUCUAUACAGCUUCACUACCUCCUCAUCUUCCCCCUUUAACUACUGUCUCCCACCACUGCCUCCUAGCAGAUAGUCUCUGCUCUGCUGCUCUGCCCUUCCUUGCAGUAUAGUCAAUAAACUUCUAUCUCCCUUGUUCUGUCAUGGGUGAAUUCUUUCACCAACCACACUGCCUACCUCCACUUGAUCUUACCUCCACUUGAUCGGAUCUCCCACAUUUGGUGGCCCCCAUCUGAUCAGGAGACUCCACACUAACAAGGGAUUUUCAGGGUAAAUAACAAUGAUUAAAAGCUACUUGCGGGGAUCCCUGGGUGGCACAGCGGUUUGGCACCUGCCUUUGGCCCAGGGCGCGAUCCUGGAGACCCGGGAUCGAAUCCCACAUCGGGCUCCCAGUGCAUGGAGCCUGCUUCUCCCUCUGCCUGUGUCUCUGCCUCUCUCUCUCUCUCUCUCUCUCUCUGUGUGACUAUCAUAAAUAAAUAAAAAAAAAAAAUUAAAAAAAAAAGCUACUUGCCUUAUAACCACUUUUCUAAGUUAUUAUCUGAUACUACUAUGCCCAUAAAAUAAUUAAAUUCUUUGAACAAAACAUAAAUAUUAUUCCAGCCUUUCAUAUCAACAAUUUUUUUAUUUUUUAUCUUUAUUUAUUUAUUCAUGAGAGACGCACACACACAGAGAGAGAGAGAGAGAAAGACAUAGACAGAGGGAGAAGCAGGCUCUCUGCAGGGAGCCCGACAUGGGACUCCAUCCCCGGAUGUGGGAUCAGGCCCUGAGCCAAAGGGAAAUGCUCAACCACUGAGCCACCCAGGCGACACUUCUUAUCAAGAAUUUUGAUAUGAACCACCUUAACAUCUUAACUUUUGGCUCAUUUGUGAUUUAUUUUAUUUCUUGGACAAAACAAGUUAAUAAAUUGCAUCAAAAGACAUAAAAUUAAUUCAAAGAUUUUCUUACAUUUUAAAAAUAUUUUUAGGUUUUUAAUAGUAAAAAUUGAGGUUCUUCUCAAAGUAAACCACAUUGUUUUCAUUUUAUUUAAAAAUUUUGGAUCAAAAGGAAUGAUGAAUUCAUAGUGUCCAAAAAAAAUCUAGUUUUGAGUUAACAGAUGGUUAGUUUAAAAAUAAUGCCUUUUUUUCAAAGCAUUCUAUAAUAAGCAUGUAUCAAAUUUAUAAUGAAAGAAUAACAAAAAAAAUAGCAUGACAUGCAAAUAAAAUUCACAACCUCCUUUAUAUCAGGGCAGAACUAUUCUAUUUCUAUACUUCUGUUGGCUAUUCAUUGCUCCAUGUUCCCAAAGUAGCAGCAAAUCAACUAAGCAGUGAAGAUGGCAAGAGGAAGACUUUCCUCUGCCCUAUGGUCUUUCUAAGCUGGACUUAGAAUCAAAUGCCUCAAGGAAGCAGAUUAACAGGAGAAAAUCAAAUUUAAUAGAUUACUUAUGGGGAAUCCACAAAGAAAUGAAAUUCCAAAGACCAUGAGGCAAUGUGAGGCCUAUAGCGCUAAGGAGAGAGGAAUUGGCCUGAGGAUAAAAAUGUAAGGAAGCUUAUUAGCAAGAAGGUGAAAGGAGACAUUUGGAAAAACUAUGUUGCCCUAUUAUGCAGAUAAGGUUCUGAGGUAAAGGGGAGUCUGUUCUUAGCUCUCUUCCUGUUACAGGCUCUCCUUUCCAGUGUAAAUUUAGGCAGUUGAGGGGGAGGCAGAGAGCUUUUCCUGCACCUACUGGGUUUUGAUUAUUUUUAACUCAAAAUAAUCUUCAUGCCAAAGUGGCCUAUCUUGGGGCAGCCUGCCCUGGGCCCUUACAAUUAAAAUCAUAUAAUGUGUAGUAUCUGUACGUUUCUUACAUGUCUUGCAGCAAACCAAUUUUUUUUGCUAUAAUUCGCCUAAGUAUUAAUUUUUGGGAGAAUCAUAGUAAGUACCAAACACCUAAAAUGAUAACCAUCCCCUCCUAGUAACCAUUUUAUAGUCAUCAGCAACACUGAACAAUGUAGACUCAUUUUUUAAUGCUGAAUGGAUUCAAAUUCCAUCACAAUUCGACCUGUUUAUAAGACUGUCUUCAAAUAAUUCAAAUGCUUAGUUGUUAUUUGGUCCAAUUCUGCUAUCCUACUAGAUGCAAAGUUUACUUCACUGCCUACUGAAAAAGGAAAUAUGUGCCAGGAUGUGUUGAAAAAUGAAAUGUGGUUUAAGUUCUCUAAAAGUAGUUAUCAAAAAAAUAAAAAAUAAAAAUAAAUAAAUAAAAGUAGUUAUCAGCAUCUAUUAAUGACACAACAUAUCUAUAAUGUUAUUAUGAAUUUGUCCUUUAAAGAACCAGCUACAUGACAAAUAUGUAUGUAUGUAUCUCCUUUAUUUUUAUUAUUAAUUUUAUAAUUAAUUUUUAUUAUUAAUGAAGAUCAAGGUAUUUGGAAAUUCUGUGUAGGUAGAUUCUAACAUUUUUCAAUUUCCAUGCCUAACCAAGCAGCUCUAGAUGUUAAGAGGUUUUCUUUAUUUCUACUUUGAUUUUCUAAUACCUAAUGACUUUGGUUCCUAAAAAGCUCCCAGAAUAAGAUCAAAUUUUUUUCUCAAACGUGCACCCUUAUAUAUGCCUAUCUCCAAUAACCUACAGCUUUACCCUAUCCUUUAGAGUCAAGAAAACUGUGAUUGUCAGAUCAAGUCACUCAUAGUUUGAGGAUUCUCCUCUAUGACAGUCCUAACAGAUGGCUAACUAGCUUCUAUUUAAAUACUCCAAAAGUAGGGUUGUCCUGUUUAACUUGUGUCUCCCCAAAAUUCAUAUGCCAAAGCCCUAACCCCAGUAUAGCUAUGUUUGAAGACUGAUUGCUAAGAAAGUGAUUGAGGGUAAAUAAGUUCACGAGGGUGGGACCCUGAUCCAAUAGGAUUGGUAUCCUCCUAAGGGACACUGGGCACUUCCACUCACUCCUGUGUUCUCUCUCUCUGCUUAGAUGCACUGAGGAAAGACAUGUGCACAUGCAUCUGAGGACACAGCAAACAGGCAGCCAGGAAAAGAGUUCUCACUAGAAACUAAGUUAGCAGGAACCUUGAUCUUGAUCUCCAGAACUGUGAAAAAAGUAAGUUUUUCUUGUCUAACCCACCUAGCCCAUGGUAGGUUGUUCUGACUGCCCAAGUUGACAAAUACAGCCUGCUUCAGGAGGUGGCCAAUUCCACUCUCAAACAAUGCUAAGUGUUAGAAAGUUCUUAUUUUAAGAAUAAAUCUGCUUUCUGAAGGCUCUACCCAAUAAUCCAACUUCUACCUUCUGGAGCUACACAGAAUAAAUUUAAUUCUGCCUUUCAAUUAAAAAAUUUUUUUCAAUUAAAAAAAACAAAGACUCUAUUUUAAGAAUUCUUCCCUGUCUUUUAGGGUCUUUCUUAGAAAUGUUCCAGCUUAUCAAGACUCUCUUUAAAAUGUGGCAGCUAGGGCAGCCCAGGUGGCUCAGCAGUUUAGUGCCGCCUUCAGCCCAGAGCGUGACCCUGGAGACCCAAGAUCGAGUCCCACAUGGGGCUCCCUGCAUGGAGCCUGCUUUUCCUUUUGCCUGUAUCCCUGCCUCUCUCUCUGUCUCUCAUGAAUAAAUGAAUAAAAUCUUUUUUAAAAUGUGGCAUCUAGAAAGACGUUUCAAAUACUCUAUAAAUAUGAAUAAUACAGGGAAACUAUUUUGCUAAAAUUAGUCCUAAUCUGUAGCAUUUUCCUGAGGAAAAGCCACUCUUAUGUUUGCACACUCUUAAAACCCCUCCUGAGGAAAAGCCACUCUUAUGUUUGCACACUCUUAAAAACCCUCAAGAGGAAGGGAACAGUCAACAAGGUCAUCUAUCUAGAAAUAAAAAUCUUCUAAAACCCCCCACCCCAUGCUGCUGUAAAUCCAGUGAGCUGGCUCAGAUAUCAACAAGAUAGACUUCAAGAUCAACUGGUUGGAGGGGUGCCUAGGUGGCUCAGUGGAUUUAAGUAUCUGCCUUCAGCUCUGGUCAGGAUCCCAGCGUCCUAGGGUCAGGCUCCCUGCUCGAUGGGGAGCCUGCUUCUUCCUCUCCCUGUGCUGCUUCCCUGCUUGUUCUUGCUUGCUCUCUCUCUCAAAUAAAUAAAAUCUAAAAAAAAAAAAAAAAGAUCAAUCGGUUGAAGAUCUGAUAUUUCACAAAGAUAAAUGAGUACAUCAUCAAGGACAGAUUAGUCCUAUUUACCUCAAGGUUACUAUGGACAAAGAAUUCAUUCUUCCUUCUUACAAAUAAAAGUUCAUUUCAAAAAAAAAAAAAGUUCAUUUCUAUUUUAUCAUCUUUCUUAUAUUCAAAAUGUCUAAAUGAGUUUUCUCUUAUUCGUUCUUUUCUCCAGAGUGACUAAGUAGUCCAAUACACAUUUACAUAAGCUAUCUCUACUACAUUAGUAGAACAAAUAAGCCUAAUUCUUUGGUGUUUAGGAAAUUCCUUAAUGAAUCCUUUGCUGUCACGAUCUUGAAACUCUCUGGUGUUGCUUCCAAGGAUCAAAGAGAGAUUUUUGCCUUCAAUUCCUGCACCUUUUGGUUCAUGUCCUCUUCCAGUCCUUAUUUUUUUCUUUUCUCUAGUUUAUUUCAACUGCUUUGACUUUUCUUAUAAAAAUAUCACGUCUAAGUUACCAGAAAGAAUUACUUUAAAUACCAACUGCUAUGGUCCAUAACACAGAGGUCAAAAGCACAAAUCCACUUGAGUAUAAGAGAACUAGUGGACAUAAAUUACAUAGACCUGAGGUAAAUCACUAGAGUUAACCAUUCAUUCAGUGGUCAUUAUUGUCCUUGUUAUUACACAUUACUUCUCUCCCCAUGCCCAAGACCAGUAUAAAUUCAACUCUAAAUGUAAUAGGUAUAAUAAUGAUUUUUAUGUUUACAUUCCUAUAGUCUGUAGAAGUCUUUCAUUUCUGGGCCCUUCCCACUUCCUUGCUCUUAAAUCAUAACCAUUUCCCUGAUAGUCAUCUUACCUACUGACUUAGAUGAUAUAUAUAUCAGUGCUCUUCCUUCAAGGAUCCCCAACGAUUUAGUCAUCAAGUAUCACCUUAGCUAAUUCUCCACUUUUGAUGUUCUUAUUCUGGAUGUCUUUGUCCCACCUAUCUUCUUCUUAUAUAUUUCGCAGUCUUCUAACAUUUGAGGAUUUUCUAAUGAGCUGUGAGCCCCAGGCUUUGACUCAUUUGAAAUUGGAGGUUUUCUUCAAGUCUGUUCUAAUCGCUUUCUGAACCGGCCAUCUUACCACAGUACAGUUGACUCCUAAACAACACAUGGUUAGGGGCACCCACACCUCCCACAUAUAACUUUUGACUACCCAAAAUCUUCAGUACUAAUAGCCUGGAAACUAUUAAUUGACUGGAAGCCUUACUGAUGAUCAUGUAAUAUAAACAGUUAAAACAUAUUUUGUUUGCUCUAUGUGUUAUAUAUUGUAUCCUUACAAUAAAGUAAACUAGAGAAGAGAAACAAUGUUAUUUAAAAAAUCUGGAGAUCCCUGGGUGGCUCAGUGGUUUAGCGCCUACCUUUGGCCCAGGUCACUAUCCUGGAGACCCGGGAUCGAGUCCCAUGUCAGGCUCCCUGCAUGGAGCCUGCUUCUCCCUCUGCCUGUGUCUCUGCGUCUCUCUCUCUCUCUCUCUCUCUCUCUAUCAUGAAUAAAUAAUAAAUAAAAUAUUUUAGAAAAAUAAAAAAUCUUAAAGAAGAGAAAAUGCAUUUACAGUACUGUACUAUAUAAAAAUAUAGUGGACCCUGCCAUUCUAACUUGUGCUAUUCAAGGAUCAAAAUAACCGUAACAGAGCACCCUUCCAUACAAUGACAUUUUAGUUAAAGUACUACUUUACUCCAAGUAGGUAUUUAUAUUACUUUUCCAUUAGAAAUGGAUGUGAGGGCAGCCCCAGUGGCCCAGCGGUUUGG
rnacentral:lncRNA from 1 species